UUAUUCUGUGCCCCAAUUAGAAAACAGUGUUCAUCAGAGUUGAGUACAGAGAAGAGAGCCCUAGAAAAAGAAAGUAUAUAUAUAGAGAGAGAGAAGGGGUUGGGGUAGGGUCCAACAACUACUUACUGGAGCCAAAAGUUCUCACAUAAACCUUUCCUCCCUUCUCUCUCCCCUCUCCGCCCUAUUUCUUCUUAUCUUUCUGUCAUACUGCAGCCUCCCCUCGAGUCGCCUCCGCUCUUCCUCCGCCCCGCCCCGCCCCGCCCUGCCGUCCGAGGAGAGGAGAGGAGACCAAGGAGAUUUGCCGGUUUUUUUUUUCUUCACGAGGGAGCCGCUGCCGCUGCGAGGAAACAAAACAAUCUCCUGAGGCAAGGACGGUUGUGAAGCAAAGUGAUCAAAUGGCAGCCGAGUCCUCUGUUCCACAAACUUCCUCUGAAUCGGCUGCUCACAAGAUGGGCUUCUUCAGAGUCCCUGAUCUUCUCGUCAAACUGAGCACCAAAUGUUUGAUUGAGUUGGAUGCCGUCCGCAGCCCAACAUCCCCCUUAGACCUGAAAUUGUUCACAGGCCUUGCUACCAGAUCACCCAGAUCGUCCUUCCUUGAUGCCGGCGCAGCCAGCCAGAACCAAAAGAUCUUGCUCGGGGACAGGGUUGGCCUGGGACUGGUGGAUUCUCUCAGUGAUGAAAACAACCCCACACCCUUGGGCAGCAGGAAGGUUCUCCUUGGAUCUGAGAUGAGGAUUACUGACAACUUAACUCUCAAGAACAGCUCCACUGCUCCUAAUCAAGCUGGCCUGCUUGAACAGAAAGAUGAGAAUAUGAGUGAUGGACUCAACGGUAGUAUCAUGUCCCUGGAUGACAUUGUCAAUUCAGAGGAUUACACCUGCGUUGUUACCCGUGGUCCAAACCCUAGAACUACCCACAUUUUUGGAGACCGUGUUUUUGAGUUUCAAGCUGAGCAACUGAUGCCUGAUGAGGGUGGGUGUGAGGAGAGUUUGGCCCCUCAUCUGAAUGGGGAUACCAUGAGCUUCUGUUGUUUUUGCGGUGACAAGCUCAAAGAAGGGAAAGACAUCUAUAUCUACCAGGGUGACAAAGCCUUCUGCAGCAUGGAAUGCCGGGAGAACUUCAUGGAAGAUGAGAUGGAAGGUGAACCUUCGAUAGGUCACUCUGAUCCCAGCGGCCCUUCCUUUGACAAUCGUUGCAUUUUCCAACUGAUCCAGUGAGCGAGCGAGCAUCAGUAAACACUUGAUGUGGUCGUAUCUGAAGCGCUGUCUGAGGUUAAUAAGCUGCAGCCAUGGAUGUGAUCAUGCUGAUCAAGUUUUUGCGUGAAGAUUUUGUCUGCUGCGGCACUGAUGAAGUUACCCCCCUUAAUGAUUUCUUUAUUUUCGUUAUCUGGAUCCUCAAAUUUUUGGAGGAGCCUGAACGAUGACUGUGCUUCCGGUCAUAUUAUUAUUUUGAUCGGAAAAGGGUGUGUGCGUGUGUUUGCCUGAACCUCAAUUUCAAUUGGACGUCAUUUUGUCAACGCCUAUUGAGUGUUGUGUCAUGUAUCUGAACCUAAGCUUCUACAUGUAUUUGCAUGUGGUACACAAUAAUAUUUGAGUAUACUAUCUUGUUCACC
rnacentral:rRNA from 1 species